rnacentral:rRNA from 1 species
CCUACGGGGGGCAGCAGUGAGGAAUAUUGGUCAAUGGGCGGAAGCCUGAACCAGCCAAGUAGCGUGCAGGAUGACGGCCCUACGGGUGGUAAACUGCUUUUAUACGGGAAUAACGCGCCUUACGUGUAGGGCUUUGCAUGUACCGUAUGAAUAAGGACCGGCGAAUUCCGUGCCAGCAGCCGCGGUAAUACGGAAGGUCCGGGCGUUAUCCGGAUUUGUUGGGUUGAAAGGGAGCGUAGGCCGCAUGUCAAGCGUGAUGUGAAAUGUCCGGGCUCAACCCGGGCCUUGAAGCGCGAACUGGCGUGCUUGAGUCCGCGGAAGGCAGGCGGAAUUCGUCGUGUAGCGAUGAAAUGCGUAGAUAUGACGAAGAACCCCGAUUGCGAAGGCAGCUUGCUGCAGCGGAACUGACGCUGAUGCUCGAAAGCGCGGGUAUCGAACAGGAUUAGAUACCCCGGUAGUC